UUUUCCCUGCUGUGUUCGAGUUGGCGAGUAACUUUGUUCCUUACUAUUGAACUGGGAAUCCAAUAUUUGAGUAGUCUACGACAGGCCUCACGGGCUUUGCCUGGAGUGGAAGCCGGACGACUACCGUGAGGAAACCCCCUUGGUGGGCAAGGUUCAAUAAGUUCCUCAGCCUACGGCAUAAGCGGGGAUUUU
rnacentral:other from 1 species